CAUGGGGACGUCGGGAAUACAAAUGACAGGUCGAACGGUAACAGGGCAACAGCUUGCUGCUUUGCUGACGAGUGGCGGCCGUUUGAUUACCGUCUGCGAAACUGCCUGAUGGAAGGGCCCCCUUCCGGAAGCGGUAGCUAAACCGCAUAACGUCGCAACACCAAGGAGGGGGACCUUCGGGCCUCUUGCCAUCGGAUGUGCCCAGAUGGGAUUAUCUAGUAGGUGGGGUAACUCUUCACCUAUGCGAGGUCCCU
rnacentral:rRNA from 1 species